rnacentral:rRNA from 1 species
AUUGAACGCUGGCGGCAGGCUUAACACAUGCAAGUCGAGCGGAGAUGAGGUGCUUGCACCUUAUCUUAGCGGCGGACGGGUGAGUAAUGCUUAGGAAUCUGCCUAUUAGUGGGGGACAACAUUCUGAAAGGAAUGCUAAUACCGCAUACGUCCUACGGGAGAAAGCAGGGGAUCUUCGGACCUUGCGCUAAUAGAUGAGCCUAAGUCGGAUUAGCUGGUUGGGGGGGUAAAGGCCUACCAAGGCGACGAUCUGUAGCGGGUCUGAGAGGAUGAUCCGCCACACUGGGACUGAGACACGGCCCAGACUCCUACGGGAGGCAGCAGUGGGGAAUAUUGGACAAUGGGGGGAACCCUGAUCCAGCCAUGCCGCGUGUGUGAAGAAGGCCUUAUGGUUGUAAAGCACUUUAAGCGAGGAGGAGGCUACUGAGACUAAUACUCUUGGAUAGUGGACGUUACUCGCAGAAUAAGCACCGGCUAACUCUGUGCCAGCAGCCGCGGUAAGAC